UACGUAGGGGGCGAGCGUUGUCCGGAUUCAUUGGGCGUAAAGAGCUCGUAGGCGGCUUGUCAAGUCGGGUGUGAAAGCCCCGGGCUCAACCUGGGAAUUGCAUUCGAGACUGAAUAGCUAGGGUACGGUAGAGGGAAGCGGAAUUUCCGGUGUAGCGGUGAAAUGCGUAGAUAUCGGAAGGAACAUCAGUGGCGAAAGCGGCUUCCUGGACCAGUACCGACGUCAGGCACGAAAGCGUGGGGAGCAAACAGG
rnacentral:rRNA from 1 species